CGGGCUGGGGUCGCCCCUGCUCAGCUCUGUGCGUCGUGGGAAACUCUGACUCCCUUUAAGGGGGACACUCGUCAUCUUUGUCACGGCUUGUGUUCAGGGGGAGGGCAGGACGGAAGGGGGAAGCUGGGAAGAUGUCCCAAGUUCACGGUGAUCUGGAGCGGAAUUCUGGGGCCUGUUUUGACCUUUGGGUUUGUCCUGAUGUGCAGGGGAGCUGGGCGUUCGUUCCCCCCUGCCCCCAGUCGGUCCUGGGUCCCGGUGCUGGGCGGCCCCCACAGCAUGUUCCCUGGAGAAGUAAAGAGCUACUGAAGCUAGGGGUCGGGGGGCACAGAGGUGGGUAAAAGGUCCCAGAGACCAGGGUGCAGGCCCGACCGUGCCCCAAGCCCAUCACCUCUGCUAGUUGUAAGAUGAGUAGAGUGGGGAGCACGCAGUGCCCACCCCACGGGACACGGUGGGAACUGCGUGACAUCAGAGCUGGCCUGUCUGAUGCACUUUCUCAUCGCCGAAAUAUUUUCUCCUUCUGGGCGACGGCCACCUUAUCCAUCUAGGGUCUGCUGCACCUGCUGUGUGUCACAUACACCCUUCUUGGGAGAAGUCAGCGGGGGGCACAGCCGUGACACUGUCCUGGGGCUGGGGACAUUCACUUCCUCUCCCGAAGGGCGUGCUGACCUUGGCCUCGCUGACUCUGGGGCCCGGGGGCAUCUGAGCAGGAUCUGGGAGGCCUCCGUGAUCCCAGAGCUUCUGGGUGCGUGGAUGCCACGUGACCGGGACGCUGUUGACUCUGCGGGUCCCAUGGUGUGCUUGGCAAACAGAGGGAUUUACCCAAGGCCACCCUGUCCCCACCUGCCAGGUCGGGAGCUGGCGUGCACUCGGUGCCUUGGGUUCGCCCAGAGCACCCACCUGGAGACGCUGACCGCUCAGGUGAGCAAAAUGCCUGCUCAGGAACCUGUCCCUUCUCCCUCCCCGAGUUCAUGGCUGCUUCCCCCUGGGACCUCGCUCCAGAUGCAGACGGGUGUGUCCAGGCAGGUGCCUCCUGAACACCCCUGAGGACUUUCUGCAACAUUCUGGAAGCCCUUGGCAAGUGGCCACAUCUUCCAGAAUGCCCUGUGUGCUUCCUGCCUCCAUGCUGGGCUCCUGCUAAGUUCUCACAUAAAGAAGAAAUUCAGGAAGGGGCGUCAGGUGGCCGGCAGUCCCGGAGGCCCCCGAGCCUUCUCCCUGACCAGGAACCUGCGGGGGGACUGCACGCUUUCCGGGGGGUCGGUGCCCAGACAGGCUGAGGCUCCAGGUCAGCCACGAGCCCGC